UAGAUAAAUGCUCGCUGGAUUGGGCGCUUAGCUGUUAACUAAGAAGUUGUAGGAUCGAGGCCUACUUAUCUAG
rfam:Oryzias latipes mitochondrial DNA, complete genome.